CGGAAAGACAAGUCAGUUGUGAAAUCCCGGGGCUCAACCUCGGAACAGCAAUUGAAACUAUCAUUCUAGAGGCUAGAUGGAGAAAACGGAAUUCCACAAGUAGCGGUGAAAUGCGUAGAUAUGUGGAAGAACACCGGUGGCGAAGGCGGUUUUCUAAUUUAGACCUGACGCUGAGGCGCGAAAGCAAGGGGAUCAAACAGGAUUAGAUACCCUGGUAGUCCUUGCCGUAAACUAUGUAUACUUGGUGUAGCCGGAAUCAACCCUGGCUGUGCCGUAGCUAACGCGAUAAGUAUACCGCCUGGGGAGUACGCUCGCAAGGGUGAAACUCAAAAGAAUUGACGGGGACCCGCACAAGCAGUGGAGCAUGUGGUUUAAUUCGAUGCAACGCGAAGAACCUUACCCAGACUUGACAUACAGUGGAAGUUUGUAGAGAUAUAAACGCCCUUCGGGGCCGCUGAACAGGUGCUGCAUGGCUGUCGUCAGCUCGUGCCGUGAGGUGUUGGGUUAAGUCCCGCAACGAGCGCAACCCUUAUCGUUAGUUGCCAACAGGUAAUGCUGGGAACUCUAGCGAGACUGCCUGGGUUAACCAGGAGGAAGGUGAGGAUGACGUCAAGUCCGCAUGGCCCUUAUGUCUGGGGCUACACACGUGCUACAAUGGUCGGUACAGAAGGCAGCGAAACCGUGAGGUGAAGCAAAUCCCUAAAGCCGGCCCCAGUUCAGAUUGUAGUCUGCGACUCGACUACAUGAAGAUGGAAUUGCUAGUAAUGGC
rnacentral:rRNA from 1 species